rnacentral:rRNA from 1 species
CCUACGGGUGGCAGCAGUGAGGAAUAUUGGUCAAUGGUCGCAGGGCUGAACCAGCCAAGCCGCGUGAGGGAUGAAGGUCCUGUGGAUUGUAAACCUCUUUUGUCAGGGAACAAAGAGUGCGACGCGUGGCCUUUUGCGUGUACCUGAAGAAAAAGCAUCGGCUAACUCCGUGCCAGCAGCCGCGGUAAUACGGAGGAUGCGAGCGUUAUCCGGAUUUAUUGGGUUUAAAGGGUGCGCAGGCGGACUGUUAAGUCAGCGGUAAAAUCUCGGGGCUCAACCCCGGCGCGCCGUUGAAACUGGCUGUCUUGAGUGAGCGAGAAGUAUGCGGAAUGCGCGGUGUAGCGGUGAAAUGCAUAGAGAUCGCGCAGAACUCCGAUUGCGAAGGCAGCAUACCGGCUCCCAACUGACGCUCAGGCACGAAAGCGUGGGUAUCGAACAGGAUUAGAUACCCUUGUAGUC